GACGAACGCUGGCGGCGUGCCUAAUACAUGCAAGUUGAGCGCUGAAGGUUGGUACUUGUACCAACUGGAUGAGCAGCGAACGGGUGAGUAACGCGUGGGGAAUCUGCCUUUGAGCGGGGGACAACAUUUGGAAACGAAUGCUAAUACCGCAUAAAAACUUUAAACACAAGUUUUAAGUUUGAAAGAUGCAAUUGCAUCACUCAAAGAUGAUCCCGCGUUGUAUUAGCUAGUUGGUGAGGUAAAGGCUCACUAAGGCGAUGAUACAUAGCCGACCUGAGAGGGUGAUCGGCCACAUUGGGACUGAGACACGGCCCAAACUCCUACGGGAGGCAGCAGUAGGGAAUCUUCGGCAAUGGACGAAAGUCUGACCGAGCAACGCCGCGUGAGUGAAGAAGGUUGUCGGAUCGUAAAACUCUGUUGGUAGAGAAGAACGUUGGUGAGAGUGGAAAGCUCAUCAAGUGACGGUAACUACCCAGAAAGGGACGGCUAACUACGUG
rnacentral:rRNA from 1 species